rnacentral:lncRNA from 1 species
CUCAAAAUGGCGGAUCCUGUUAGUCAUUUGACCUAUGUUUUUAAAAAAUGAAAAUAUCUCUGCCUUUUCGAAGGAAAAUCGGGUAAAAAACACUACACAAACGACAAACAAAGAACAAAAAAUAUUCUGGACUUCAUUCACAUUCGGAGGCCAGUUGAAAUGACAUCAGACAACUGUCUUCCAUGGUUGCCCAGAAUACGGUUAGGUGCUACAGAACUGACAGUUGGAGCAUUUAGACAGUCCAUAUUUUGCCCCCCUUCCGUAGAAUCUUCACUGCUUAACGAUGGAGUUCUUGGUCUGUGUGGUUUCAUGGAUUCUAUACUGUUCAAUGGUAAAACGGGGUCUGAUUGCGAGUGCUUUGGAGGCCAAUGAGAUAUAUCUUCAGGUGCUACAGCUGUACUAGCGGGUAGAGCAAAAAAUGAUAUUCCAAACACUGCGAAUAAUGCAGCACAGAAUCUGCCAUACCACGUGAUGGGAGUCUUGUCACCAUAGCCGAUUGUUGUCAAAGUUACCUGGUGAAGCAAACAGGACUUAAUACAACAAGGCUGACCUCUGGUUGUUAGUGAUCAAUACACUACCAUAAACAUGUCUUUCUGAUAAGAAUCUUAAGUGGCUGUCUUUCAGCAUAACAAGAAUGUUUGAAACAGCAGAAAUUUAAUGUCACUAAACAAGACAAAGAAAGACACUUUUCAGGUAAAAC